GUGAGUAAUGCUUGGGAAUCUACCUUAUGGAGGGGGAUAACUACGGGAAACUGUAGCUAAUACCGCGUAUAAUCUGCAGAUGAAAGUGUGGGACCUUCUGGCCACAUGCCAUAGGAUGAGCCCACGUGGGAUUAUGUAGUUGGUGAGGUAAAGGCUCACCAGGCCGACUAUCUCUAGCUGGUCUGAGAGGAUGACCAGCCACACUGGGACUGAGACACGGCCCAGACUCCUACGGGAGGCAGCAGUGGGGAAUAUUGCACAAUGGGGGCAACCCUGACCCAGCCAUGCCGCGUGAAUGAAGAAGGCCUUCGGGUUGUAAAGUUCUUUCGGUAGCGAGGAAGGCAUUUAGUUUAAUACACUAGGUGAUUGACGUUAACUACAGAAGAAGCACCGGCUAACUCCGUGCCAGCAGCCGCGGUAAUACGUAGGGUGCGAGCGUUAAUCGGAAUAACUGGGCGUAAAGGGCACGCAAGCGGUGACUUAAGUGAGGUGUGAAAGCCCCGGGCUUCACCUGGGAAUUGCAUUUCAUACUGGGUCGCUAGAGUACUUUAGGGAGGGGUAGAAUUCCACGUGUAGCGGUGAAAUGCGUAGAGAUGUGGAGGAAUACCGAAGGCGAAGGCAGCCCCUUGGGAAAGUACUGACGCUCAUGUGCGAA
rnacentral:rRNA from 1 species